CCUACGGGAGGCACCAGUGGGGAAUAUUGCACAAUGGGCGCAAGCCUGAUGCAGCCAUGCCGCGUGUGUGAAGAAGGCCUUCGGGUUGUAAAGCACUUUCAGCGGGGAGGAAGGCGUUAAGGUUAAUAACCUUGGCGAUUGACGUUACCCGCAGAAGAAGCACCGGCUAACUCCGUGCUAGCAGCCGCGGUAAUACGGAGGGUGCAAGCGUUAAUCGGAAUUACUGGGCGUAAAGCGCACGCAGGCGGUCUGUCAAGUCGGAUGUGAAAUCCCCGGGCUCAACCUGGGAACUGCAUUCGAAACUGGCAGGCUAGAGUCUUGUAGAGGGGGGUAGAAUUCCAGGUGUAGCGGUGAAAUGCGUAGAGAUCUGGAGGAAUACCGGUGGCGAAGGCGGCCCCCUGGACGAAGACUGACGCUCAGAUGCGAAAGCGUGGGGAGCAAACAGGAUUAGAUACCCGGGUAGUC
rnacentral:rRNA from 1 species